rnacentral:rRNA from 1 species
GCGUAAUGGGGGCGCGGAGGCGUGGGAAUACAGAGGGGGAGAGCGUUAAUCGCAUGUAAUGGGGUGAAAGCUGUCGUAGGCGGCUGAGUAUGUCGGAUGUGAGAUCCCUAAGAUUAAAUUAGGAAUUGCAGUCGAUACUGGUCAGAUAGAGUAUGGGAGAGGAUGAUAGAAUUGCAGGUGUAGCGGUGAAAUGCGUAGAGAUCUGGAGGAAUACGGAUGGCGAAGGCAGCCAUCUGGCCGAAUACUGACGCUGAGGUACGAAAGCAUGGGGAGCAAACAGGAUUAGAUACCCUGGUAGUC